rnacentral:rRNA from 1 species
UACGUAGGGUGCAAGCGUUGUCUGGAAUUAUUGGGCGUAAAGAGCUCGUAGGCGGCUUGGCAAGUCGGAUGUGAAAUCCCUCGGCUCAGCCAAGGAAGUGCAUCCGAAACUGCUGAGCUUGAGUACUUAAGAGGAUCGCGGAAUUCCCGGUGUAGAGGUGAAAUUCGUAGAUAUCGGGAGGAACACCAGUGGCGAAGGCGGCGAUCUGGGAAGAUACUGACGCUGAGGUGCGAAAGCGUGGGGAGCAAACAGG